CCGAUGCAGCUGCCGAAGUUGCGUUGUCAUCGGACAGGCCAGUUGUGGCUGCCAAAAUAUCUGGGCGGAUCAGUCGCAACGUCGUCGAACGGGCCAUUCCCGCGGUCUCCCUCAAUGGUGCCCUUCUUUGCGAGGCAAACUCUGUGUUUGAAUCUGUAUUUGAAAUUCCCUGCUAGAACGGUAUUCGUCGUCGGAAGAUGAGGAAUCAUCAGAAGAUGAGGAAUCAUCAGACCAAAGCGCAGCGUGAAUAAUGUGUCUGGUUGGCUUCCUAAUGGCAAACACUGGCCCAGAGGACUGGGACUACUGAGAUGAUAGGACAGCCCUGAUGCAGUAAACAUGAAUACAUUACAAACCCUAUCUAAUGUCUGUUCAUAGAAAUAAACUACU